rnacentral:rRNA from 1 species
GGGAAAUGUGGUGUUAGGGAGGAUCCGUUUAUCCCGAGGUCGUGCGGCGCGUCCAAGUCCUUCUUGAACGGGGCCACAGCCCAUAGAGGGUGCCAGGCCCGUAGCGACCGCUGCCGAUCGCGGGAGGAUCUCUCCUCAGAGUCGGGUUGCUUGAGAGUGCAGCCCUAAGUGGGUGGUAAACUCCAUCUAAGGCUAAAUAUGACCACGAGACCGAUAGCGAACAAGUACCGUGAGGGAAAGUUGAAAAGCACUUUGAAGAGAGAGUUCAAGAGUACGUGAAACCGUUCAGGGGUAAACCUGAGAAACCCGAAAAGUCGAAAGGGGAAAUUCAUUCGCGUCUCGACCGUCGGAGUGGAGCGAUCGAGCGACGGACGGCGUACGCGUCGUCCGCGCCUUUCGUUUUACGUUUCGGCGUCGAACGCGUGCACUUUUCCCCUAGUAGGACGUCGCGAUCCGUUGGGCGUCGGUCUAAGGUCCGCGGUGGAGCCCGAGCGUGCGUCUUCGGACGUUCGCGCUCGGACCCGCGGUAUCCCGGCCGACUCGCUCGACGGUAUACAGAUGGCGCGGGGCCGCUAUUUCAAUUAGCGUUCGGCCCGCGGCAAGCGCGUACGGUGUUGUCGACGAUCGGACCUGGUGCCGGUCUCGUCCCCGGACGACUGUUGGCCGCGGUGUUUUCUCGAACAGACCUCGUUACGAAACGCCGAUCUGCGACGCUAUAGCUUUGGGUACUUUCAGGACC